rnacentral:rRNA from 1 species
AGUGAACGCUGGCGGUAGGCCUAACACAUGCAAGUCGAACGGCAGCACAGUAAGAGCUUGCUCUUACGGGUGGCGAGUGGCGGACGGGUGAGGAAUACAUCGGAAUCUACUUUUUCGUGGGGGAUAACGUAGGGAGACUUACGCUAAUACCGCAUACGACCUACGGGUGGAAGCAGGGGAUCUUCGGACCUUGCGCGAUUGAAUGAGCCGAUGUCGGAUUAGCUAGUUGGCGGGGUAAAGGCCCACCAAGGCGACGAUCCGUAGCUGGUCUGAGAGGAUGAUCAGCCACACUGGAACUGAGACACGGUCCAGACUCCUACGGGAGGCAGCAGUGGGGAAUAUUGGACAAUGGGCGCAAGCCUGAUCCAGCCAUACCGCGUGGGUGAAGAAGGCCUUCGGGUUGUAAGGCCCUUUUGUUGGGAAAGAAAAGCAGCAGGUUAAUACCCCGCUGUUCUGACGGUACCCAAAGAAUAAGCACCGGCUAACUUCGUG